AGAACAACAACUGCAACUGCUACUGCUUCUGUCUUCUCUUUGAUUCUGCUUAAUGAUUUUACAAUAUGCAAUUUAGGGUUUAGCUUAAAGUUUCUGUUAAUUGAUAGAGAUUUGGUUUUUAUGUGGGGGCGUAAAAAGAGAGAGAGAGAGUUGGGGAUAUGGUGAUGAAACGAAUAUUUCGUGGACUAGAGUUUCAGAUCUGGGCUCUUCACCCAGAAUUUGAAGAAACAACCCUUGGCUGUCUGAAUGGAUGUCACGGCUUUGUUUCGGAAGGAAGGAAUUAUUAUGAAGUGGAUUGGUUUUGUUUCUCUAGUUAAAUAUGGAGGAUUGUAAAUUUUCUUAUGUUUCCAUUUGAUCAACAGGUAUUACGAUUUAGUCCU